GGGAGCUGCCCAACAGAUCAGGGGUGGGGCAAGGGCCAACCCCACAUCUGGUCCUUAGAACUGUGGAACAUCCUCACUACGUUUUAUCUGACCUCUACUUGAGCUUCUAACUAAUUCCAGCUUCCGUUAGUCACUCGGUUUGCGGUUUGAUUUAACCUCCUCUACCCAGUUCCCUUUCCGGUCACAACUCGUUUCUGCUAUUACCUCACUUCCUGGUUCGGGGUAGCGUAGCUUCCGUUUUCUGUCUCUUUCUAAGGCUUCUAGCCAUGCCCUUUCCAAGUUAGUCUUUGGCUCCGGAGGAGGUAGCUGCUGGCUGGGAAGGUAAACUGCUUUCCUAUAUCUGCCUUGAGUUGAAAGGAAGGAAAUGAGGAGGGAGCCGGCGUAGGCCUUAGCUGCGGAGGAGGACGGAGAAGACAGACCUCUUUCUGUUUUCUGAGCUGUUUCCCCACCCAGGUGGCCUAAGGUUCCCACAUCAUUCCUCCCCCUCCUCCUCCCUCCCCCCCCCCCCCAUCUCCUCCUUUCCAUACUCUUAUAUCUAAAAAAUGUCUAUUGAAGAAGGGCCCCAUAUAUAUCAGAAUAUAGCAACAUUCUUUUUUUUUUUAACUGUGAGAACUUGAGGGAAGGGGGAAUGGGCCAACCAUCGAUUUGAGAAUGAUUGAACACAUUUUAGUAUGCAAGUGUCAUCAUGAAAUAUUCCUUUGUAAGAACCGAGGAAAUUAGGAAUGCAGAGAAGGAGAAGAGCCACACGCGCUGAUGCAGAACAAGAGUCAUCAUAGUUCAGUGUCAACAAAACAAUGAAGACUACUGGCUUUUUAUUAAAAUAAAGAUUUCUUGGAAUCCCGAGUGGUCUGUUUGCCUUGAACUUGGAACCAGGAAACAAGGUCCUCUUGCCAUGCCCUUCCCAGGUUUGACUGUGGGCCGGGAGGAGGUAACUGCCGGUUGGAAAGUGUAAACAAGCAGUAAAACAAAGAGAAAAAUAAUCAUUUACAACAUAUCUGCUGUGAAAAAGAUGAUAGCUAAAGGCGUUUUCCAGCAUCACUGUGACAUCAGGCUUCUCACUUCUGGACCCAUAAACCCACCAUUCAUUUUUUUUUGAAUACCAAUUAAAGUGUUUUCUCAAGAAUUUUCUUUGUGUUUCUUUGUAACAUUGAAGUUAAACCCAGUUCUCUUAGGAAAUAGUUUCUAGAUCCUUUCCCUUUUUCCUCUCUUGAACCAUUACAACUAACAGUUUCUCUCCAGAAUAACAGUUAAACAGUUUCUCCCAAACUCCUCAUGGAAUGACAGUAAAAACACUAGGGUCCGUCCAUUAGUGCCUCUUGAAUUUAGGGUAACAGGUGCUUGAAAUCUGUGUUGGAGCUUGAUUCCUUGGCAGGGGUUGUGGGCUAGAUGAGGCAGAAUGCAGUGCACAUGUUCACAAAGGCCAGUCUGGGCCAGUAUUGUUAAACUUGCAUGUGUACAUGUUGUCUCCCCUGAUCACAAAGGGCAGGGUUGGUUUCCUUUUUGUCUUUGUAACCUCAUCACUGGGCACAGUGCCUGACACAUCAGCUGGUGGAGCUGGGUGGUACUAUGAUUGGAAGACUGCUAGUCACUGAAUUUCAUUUUGCCUCAGUUUCCCUAGCAAUAAAAUGGGGAUAAUAAUAGAAUAGCACCUAUUGCCCAUGGUUGUUGUGAGAAUCAAAUAAGAUUUUUGUAAAGUGUAGGGGCUAUUUAUUUAUUUUGUUUGGGGAGAUAUUUAUUUAGCUCUUACUACAUGGUCAAUUUUUUUACAUGUCAAUGCAGUUUUUAAUAAUUGUUUUCUGACAUUUUGUGAUCUUUUUUUCCCUCUCUUCCUUUCUCUUCUCUUCUUGAGACAGUAAAGAGUAAAAUAUAGGUUAUAUAUGUGCUUUCAUGCAAUUCAUAUCUUCCCCAUUCAUCACGUUGUGAAAGAAGACAUGUAUUGCUUAUACAAGGAAAAAAACUCAUGAAGGAGAUAAAGUAAAAAAUGAUAUACUUCAGUUUGCAUUCAGACUCCAUCAGUUCCUUCUUUGGUGAUGGAUAGGUUUUUUGAUCCCGAGUCCCUUGGAGUUGUCUUGGAUCCUUGCAUUGCUGAUAGUAGACAAGUUAUUCACAGUUGAUCAUUGUGCAAUGUUGCUGUCACUGCAUUUUGUUCUGAUUCUGUUGACUUCACAUCAUUUCAUAUAAGUCCUUCCAGGUUUUUUGGUGAUUGUCAGUCAGUUUUGAUGACACAAUAAUAUUUCAUUACAAUCAUAUACCACUACUCUGUCAGCUGUUUUCCAGUUGAUUGUCAUCCCUUCAUUUCAUUGUCACCACAAAAACUUAUAUUAAUAGCUUUCUUCAAGUAGAUUCUUUCCCCUGUCUUUGAUCCAGAUACAGAUUUGUGAUACAGAUCCAGUAGUGAGGCUCAGUCUUGUUUCCCUUUGGGUAUGGUUCCAAAUUGCCCUCCAGAGUGAUUAUAUCAGUUCACAGCUUCAUUAAGUUGUUUUAGUGUCUCAAUUUUCCCAUAUUCUCUCCAACUUUUUUUCAUUUUUCUUUUUGGUCAUAUUAACCAAUCUAAUAGGUAUAAGGUAUUUUUGAGUUGUUUUAGUUUCUAUUUAAUCAAUAGUCAUUUGGAGCAUUUUUUCAUAUUACUAAAGAUAGUUUUAGUUUCUUCUGAAGACUGCUUAUUCAUACCUUUUGAUCAUUUUAAC